rnacentral:rRNA from 1 species
GACGAACGCUGGCGGCGUGCUUAACACAUGCAAGUCGAACGGAAAGGCCCUGCUUUUGUGGGGUGCUCGAGUGGCGAACGGGUGAGUAACACGUGAGUAACCUGCCCUUGACUUUGGGAUAACUUCAGGAAACUGGGGCUAAUACCGGAUAGGAGCUCCUGCUGCAUGGUGGGGGUUGGAAAGUUUCGGCGGUUGGGGAUGGACUCGCGGCUUAUCAGCUUGUUGGUGGGGUAGUGGCUUACCAAGGCUUUGACGGGUAGCCGGCCUGAGAGGGUGACCGGCCACAUUGGGACUGAGAUACGGCCAAGACUCCUACGGGAGGCAGCAGUGGGGAAUAUUGCAAAAUGGGCGGAAGCCUGAUGCAGCAACGCCGCGUGCGGGAUGACGGCCUUAGGGUUGUAAACCGCUUUCGCCUGUGACGAAGCGUGAGUGACGGUAAUGGGUAAAGAAGCACCGGCUAACUACGUG